rnacentral:rRNA from 1 species
ACUCAAAUGAAUAGACGGGGACCCGCACAAGCAGCGGAGCGUGUGGUUUAAUUCGAGGCUACGCGAAGAACCUUACCAGGGUUUGACAUAUACGUGGUAGGGAGUCGAAAGAUGACCGACCCUUCGGGGAGCGUAUACAGGUGCUGCAUGGCUGUCGUCAGCUCGUGCCGUGAGGUGUUAGGUUAAGUCCUGUAACGAGCGCAACCCACGUCGCUAGUUACAUGUGUCUAGCGAGACUGCCGGUGAUAAGCCGGAGGAAGGUGUGGAUGACGUCAAGUCAGCAUGGCCUUUAUAUCCUGGGCUACACACACGCUACAAUGGCCGGUACAAUGGGUAGCCAAGCCGCGAGGCGGAGCCAAUCCUAAAAAGCCGGUCUCAGUUCGGAUUGCAGGCUGCAACUCGCCUGCAUGAAGUCGGAGUUGCUAGUAACCGCGCGUCAGCCAUAGUGCGGUGAAUACGUUCCCGGGUCUUGCACACACCGCCCGU